rnacentral:rRNA from 1 species
AUGAACGCUGGCGGCGUGCCUAAUCCAUGCAAGUCGAGCGAACAGACGAGGAGCUUGCUCCUCUGACGUUAGCGGCGGACGGGUGAGUAACACGUGGCUAACCUACCUAUAAGACUGGGAUAACUUCGGGAAACCGGAGCUAAUACCGGAUAAUAUAUUGAACCGCAUGGUUCAAUAGUGAAAGCCGGUUUUGCUGUCACUUAUAGAUGGAUCCGCGCCGCAUUAGCUAGUUGGUAAGGUAACGGCUUACCAAGGCAACGAUGCGUAGCCGACCUGAGAGGGUGAUCGGCCACACUGGAACUGAGACACGGUCCAGACUCCUACGGGAGGCAGCAGUAGGGAAUCUUCCGCAAUGGGCGAAAGCCUGACGGAGCAACGCCGCGUGAGUGAUGAAGGUCUUCGGAUCGUAAAACUCUGUUAUUAGGGAAGAACAAAUGUGUAAGUAACUAUGCACGUCUUGACGGUACCUAAUCAGAAAGCCACGGCUAACUACGUG